AUUGAACGCUGGCGGCAGGCUUAACACAUGCAAGUCGAGCGGGGUGAUGGUGCUUGCACUAUCACUUAGCGGCGGACGGGUGAGUAAUGCUUAGGAAUCUGCCUAUUAGUGGGGGACAACAUCUCGAAAGGGAUGCUAAUACCGCAUACGUCCUACGGGAGAAAGCAGGGGAUCACUUGCGACCUUGCGCUAAUAGAUGAGCCUAAGUCGGAUUAGCUAGUUGGUGGGGUAAAGGCCUACCAAGGCGACGAUCUGUAGCGGGUCGGAGAGGAUGAUCCGCCACACUGGGACUGAGACACGGCCCAGACUCCUACGGGAGGCAGCAGUGGGGAAUAUUGGACAAUGGGGGGAACCCUGAUCCAGCUAUGCCGCGUGUGUGAAGAAGGCCUUAUGGUUGUAAAGCACUUUAAGCGGGGAGGAGGCUCUUUUGGUUAAUACCCAAGAUGAGUGGACGUUACUCGCAGAAUAAGCACCGGCUAACUCUGUGCCAGCAGCCGCGGUAA
rnacentral:rRNA from 1 species